GAAAUAGCCAGUCAGAGCUACAUUCAAUAUUUUGCACCUAUAUAAUAUGUCAGUUUGGAUAACUCCUGUUUUUUUUUUAAAUUUCUGUAGAUAUACCUAAUUAAUCAACUCAAACAGAUGCCUUUGUUUUGGCAGCCAGUUGGGACCACAACAAUGAACAAUGAUAUCUUUUCUGGAUACAAGAGCUUCAAUAGCAUCAAAUAGGCAAUUCCAGCUUUUAGUUUAUGCCUGCAGGGGAUGAUGGGAAGUAAGGUAUCAUAGUGCUGAUUAUGCUGAAAAAUUUCAAUAAAAACUACCGAAGCAACCAAAAUAUUUCAAUAUUUACAAGUAUAAGCUAUCACUCCGUGUUUACACAGCCACCAUUUUUAUUUUUUCAGCAUAAUCAGCAAUGUGAUACCUUACUUCCCAUCGUCCCUGCACGCAUAAACUAAAAGCUGGAAUUGCCUAUUGUCCUGGUCUAAACUUUCAAUGUCCAAGUUCUAGUUUACAGCACCGUCCAUUGAAAUUCUUUCUGGAGUUGUAGGCAAUGUUCCACUUUCAACAGUUUCUCAUCAACUUUUGGUAGCAACAGUAAUGGCAUCAUUGGAACAAUUUAUAUCAUUGCCAAAUGACACUUUGUAUUCUGUGUACAUUAGUUCAUACUAGAUUGACACAUCAUCCAUGGAAUUAUUCUGUAGAAUAAUUAAGAUAUUUGUAUGUUACCAUAGUCACUACUAUAGGUUCACCUGGCAAUUAUAAUAAUAAAUCUAAUUAAUUAUUGUUAUUUGUUGUUUUAAAAUUUCCAAAAUGAAAGUUUUGAACUCAUUUAUUGGGUCGUUCCAGAAAGGAUCCACACUCCCCUCACAGAGGAAAUUUUUGCAGUGGAGACAAAAUUGUUUCUGAUAAUAGGGGGGAGGGGGGGGGGUUACAAUUCCCUCUCUGGGGGUGGUAUGGAUGUUUUCUGGAAUGACCCAUUAGCUUUGCCAUGAUACAGUAUAAAGUACAUCAAAUAAACAGACAGACAGACAUAUAAAGUACAAGUGGCAGGGUUACCGCAACAGAAAUUAUACUCCCAAUAACUGCGGGCCACCUUUGAUAAUAUAAGCUACCACAGUUCAGUGCAUGUAGACAUAUUCACACAAACAUUACAAACCUUGGGUGGUAUAAAUGGCCAUUUAUUAUGCCACCAAGAAGGCAAC